GGGCGCAAGCCUGAUCCAGCAAUGCCGCGUGCAGGAUGAAGGCCCUCGGGUUGUAAACUGCUUUUGUACGGAACGAAAAGCUCUGGGCUAGUACCCCGGAGUCAUGACGGUACCGUAAGAAUAAGCACCGGCUAACUACGUGCCAGCAGCCGCGGUAAUACGUAGGGUGCAAGCGUUAAUCGGAAUUACUGGGCGUAAAGCGUGCGCAGGCGGUUUUGUAAGACAGUGGUGAAAUCCCCGGGCUCAACCUGGGAACGGCCAUUGUGACUGCAAGGCUAGAGUGCGGCAGAGGGGGAUGGAAUUCCGCGUGUAGCAGUGAAAUGCGUAGAUAUGCGGAGGAACACCGAUGGCGAAGGCAAUCCCCUGGGCCUGCACUGACGCUCAUGCACGAAAGCGUGGGGAGCAAACAGGAUUAGAUACCCUGGUAGUCCACGCCCUAAACGAUGUCAACUGGUUGUUGGGUCUUCACUGACUCAGUAACGAAGCUAACGCGUGAAGUUGACCGCCUGGGG
rnacentral:rRNA from 1 species